UAUAAUUUUUAUAUGACACCAACGUGAAUUGGUAUCUUUAUCUAUAUAUAUAAGGACUUAUUUCUAUUACACAUUAUAACUACAAUAAGUGACCUGGAAAAGUCCACAUAAACAGAAUGAUUUUUUUAUUGGGACUUUUAUUUGCCACACUGGUUCCAAGUAUGAUGGCUAACAGCAGUGGGAAUAGGAUAGCAGCUUCUUCAAUAUAUUAUGAUGAAACUACAUAUUGGAAAAACGUGUGUUCCGAAUUAUGUUUCGAUAAAAUACAACAAAUAACUUCAAAAAACAAGGAUUUGUACAAUCAAAACCAGGUGCUGCGAAAGGAAUUUGACAGGCGGAUCCAAAAUAUGAAAGAAGAUUGUGAUUCAAAACUUUUAUCACGGAUAUCUACAUCAAUUAAAGAGCAAAAUAGUUUGUGGCUGAAGUGUAUUGCUGUGAAACCUGGUAGACCGUGUGAUGUUACACAGGGUUGCUCUACAUCUAAGCAAGGACUAUGCUUUCCAAUAAACGUGUGAACAGUAGACCUUGUGAUGUAACACAGGGUUGCUUUACAUCUAAACAAGGACUAUGCUUUCCAAUAAACGUGUAAACAGUAGACCGUGUGAUGUAACACAGGGUUGCUCUACAUCUAAACAAGGACUAUGCUUUCCAAUUAACGUGUAAACAGUAGACCUUGUGAUGUAACACAGGGUUGCUCUACAUCUAAACAAGGACUAUGCUUUCCAAUAAAUGUGUAAACAGACUGAAGAUUAAAUAUUUAUCAUUCCUGGACUACCAAAAAUGCUUGGAGUAAGCAAAGGCUCCGUGUUGAAAGCCGUUCUAUGACCUAUUAUUGUUA